CAUUGGGUGGAAAGGCAAUAUUCUUGAAUGUGAGAAAGAAAAAAAUAAUGGGAGUAGUUGGGGGGGAUGUAAAUGAUGCAAGGAAGAAAAGCAUUUCAAUGUUGUUUCUGUUUACUUGCAGGAAUCAUGAAAAGCUAUCACAGAAGCAAAAUGAAAAACAGAAUAAGAGUCAUAUGCAAAGGAAUUGGUCUUGAAGCCAAGAAGUACAGAGGUAAAGUAUUGAGGCAAGAAUGAAAGAGUAUCCAAGAAUGAACCUUGCUGUAGAUUGUGGGAGGAAAAUGGAUGGAAUGGAGCAAUUGUUAUGAAAUACUAAUAAGGAAUGUUUCAUUGUAGGAGGAGAUUCGCGUUAGAACAGAAUAUGAAACUACUGUGACCAGGUCCUGGAAUUCUGUCUGUCAAGGGGGGCCAGGCCAGUCAGUGGGCCUUCUUGCAAAACUGUUUUAUAUUAUAUGGCUUAUUCUGCAAUAUACUGAAUAAUAAACUAUAAAUAAGCGAUCGGCUCCCAACCCAAUUGGGGGAGAGGGGGGAGUGGAGGUUGGCUGCUGUUUGAUCCUGCUGUUCUUCUGUUUUAUGAGUACCUCUCUCAAUACUCAGGGAUCCUUGGAGCUACUGGAUGGUGCACAACCUGCAUCUGACUUACAGUGGCACAAAAGAUUGCGGUGAAAAUACUUCAAAAAACUUAAAAUCCUGGGACUUUAUGAAUCAGAAAUACAGUACUUGAUCUCUCUGAAUACAUAUGAGUCUUUCUCUCUAUCUCUUUCUCUCUCUGCUCUUUUUUUCUCCAUAUGUCUCUUUCUGUCACUCUUCUUCCUCCUUUCUCUCUUGAUCUCCUUUUCUGAUUUCAUCAGGCUCUCCUCACUGUAUGUCUCUCUCCCGCCCCCUCUUUCUCUCUCUCUCCUCUGCCUUUUACUUCCUUUGUACCGUCUUCUCUGGCAGUCUCUUGAUUCCCAUCUCUCUCUCUGAGUUCUCUCUCUUUGUCUCUCUUUUUCUUGCUCUCCUUUUCUUUAUGUUGCUCUCUCUCUCCCUCUCUUACUCCUCUGGCUUUUUCUCUCUGCUUCUCCUUCUCUCUGUGUGUAUCUCUCAGUCUAUCUCAUUCCCUCUUUGUCUCUUGCUAACCCUCUCUGGCCUUCCUUUAGCUCUCCCUGGCAUUCCUUCUUUCUAUAUGCCGGUCUUCCUCUCAGACAACUCUAUACACAACACUCUCACACAAUCAAGACAACUGCACACAAAAUCACACUCAGCCAGCCUCACACAGCCAACCCUGUUGUAUUACUUACAGGGGAAUGAGGAGAAGGUGGUCAGGUGGAGGUGGAGGGGCUUUUUUGAUUCUUGCACCAGGGCCCAGCAUUUCCUAGUUAUUCCCUUGUGUAAUUCCAAGGUUAGUCAAAUCAGAGAUAGUUGUUAAGAAGGAUAAGAACUACAGAGAAUGCAAGAUGUCUGUGUCAGUGUGACAGUUGCAAAGUUGUAGACCUCUAGAUAGGUUAAAGGUUUGGUGGGAAAGUGAUAAAUCUCCUUUUGAGAAUAUUAGGUUUUACACUGGAGUAACAGCAAAAAUGUAGUGUCAAGUUAGAUGGGCUCUGUGGCUGGAAUUAUUCUGUUUAUUGUAUUUGUAUUUGUGCACUCACCUGACAAUGCACAAGACAUUAUGAGGGUCAUACUGAUUUGCAUUGUAUGCUAGACUAUACCUUGACAGCCUUGCAUAAGAAAACAAAAUCUAGUAAAAAAAAAAAGCAUUUCUUAACAAAUAUGAUAUAUCUGAUGUACUAUACACGAAAAUGCCUACAAAGCAAUUAGCAUAUUAUACUUUAACCCACGGAGAUUGUAUUUUCUAUUCUAUCCUAAGAUCUAUCCUACUAUCUACGUGCAUUACAUUGUUUGCCUUGUCAGAUAUUAUGCCUAGAUCCAGUUAAGAAAAUUUUUUUAUUAAAAUGAACUGAUAAGUAAAAGAAAUACAACCCAAGUUUAAAUAAAAUAAAAUAUAAUACAAUUUCUAUAAAGUAAUAGACAAUAGACUUUAAUCAGGUAAUAGCAACAGGAUAGAAAAGAAUAUGAGUCUAUGAGAAGUGAUAAUCCCUCUGUUAUUAAGUCAUGGUGUUGAGUUUUCUUUCGUUCUACAAUAUUUGUAGCUGGCCUAGAAGCAGUGUUGAAAUUACUAGUUGGAUGAUUUGCUUGGCAGACACCUGUUGAUUUACUGUUGAUUUUCCUGCAGUAGCCAAUCUGUGCAGAAUGAUUAACAGCUGCAUUCUAGUGUUUUUAUUGUCGCAAUAAUCAUCACAUGAUACAUAUUUAGACAUACCUCUGUUUUGUGAUUUGAUAUCUCCAUUCUGUUAUACGUUUUAUUGACAGACAUCCUGAAUCUCACCAUUCACUGACCAGUUUUACCACUCGCAUGUUGUGGCCUUGACUAUGACCUGAUUAACCAUUUGUGCGACAUCUCUGCCUGCCUGCCUUGGAUGUAUUGCUUGACUAAGCCUUUCUUUCAGUUGACUUAUAUUUGUCCACUUUCUUCUCUGCAAUGAUUCUCAUUCAAAUGGGAACCACCACUUCUAUGGAAAUUGCAUAAUUUAUUGACUAAUUGAAAGUCACAUAAAACUUUUGUUUAUCUUUUUUAUAUUGUUCUCCAUUUUCAUUUAUCAUCUUUAAAAGCAACACUUUAGUAAUUUUCAUCACAAUCUAGUUGAGUCCUAACACUGUCAGGACGCACUAUGCCUCUCUCUUUCUACUAAUGAACAAUGCCAAGUUAUUUUGGUUUUAGUUUUUAUGUUGGCCUUCUUGUCAGGUUUGACAGAGAGCAGAGACCUAAAGACUCUUUACAGGAUAGAAGUAAAAACAGUAUAGAGAUGUCUAUAUUUAUUUUUUAUUUUUAGCUCUUACAAAAAUGUGUUUUUUAAAUAUAGGGAAUGUGUUUGAAUUUGUCCUCUGUUCAACCUGAACCUGCGUAAAAAC
rnacentral:lncRNA from 1 species